CCCACUCCGAUAUUCUUACCUGGAGAAUCCCAUGGACAGAGGAGCCUGGCGGGCUACAGUCCAGGGGGUCGCAAGAGUUGGACAUGACUUAGCAACUAAACCACCAACAAUACAUCCCAGGAAAACAGCUUCAAGCUGGGCAGACAUUGGCCUUGUAGCCUGCAGGGUCCAGCCUAACAAUUGGGGGCAGCAGCCAGGAGGCCACAGAAACUCUUAAAUUGAGGACUCGAGUUCCAAGCAGCCUAAUCAGGAGGCUGGUCUCUGUACCAGUGCUUGAAGCCCAAGAUGGAAUCAAGAUUGCCAGGAGAAAUACUAAAACCUCACAUAGACAGAUGACACUACCUUUAUGGCAGAAAGUGAAGAGGACCUAAAGAGCCUCUUGAUGAAAGUGAAAGAAGAGAG